rnacentral:rRNA from 1 species
UACGGAGGGUGCAAGCGUUAAUCGGAAUUACUGGGCGUAAAGCGAGCGCAGACGGUUGAUUAAGUCUGAUGUGAAAGCCCGGAGCUCAACUCCGGAAUGGCAUUGGAAACUGGUUAACUUGAGUGCAGUAGAGGUAAGUGGAACUCCAUGUGUAGCGGUGGAAUGCGUAGAUAUAUGGAAGAACACCAGUGGCGAAGGCGGCUUACUGGACUGUAACUGACGUUGAGGCUCGAAAGUGUGGGUAGCAAACAGG